rnacentral:rRNA from 1 species
UACAGAGGUCUCAAGCGUUGUUCGGAUUCAUUGGGCGUAAAGGGCGCGUAGGCGGCGCGGUAAGUCGGAUGUGAAAUCUCGGAGCUUAACUUCGAAACUGCAUUCGAUACUGCCGUGCUUGAGGACUGGAGAGGAGACUGGAAUUUACGGUGUAGCGGUGAAAUGCUUAGAUAUCGUCAAGAACACCGAUAGCGAAGGCAGCUUACUAAAGAGUAACUGACGCUGAGGCACGAAAGUGUGGGGAUCAAACAGG